rnacentral:rRNA from 1 species
CCUACGGGAGGCAGCAGUGAGGAAUAUUGGUCAAUGGGAGAGAUCCUGAACCAGCCAAGCCGCGUGAGGGAAGACGGCCCUAUGGGUUGUAAACCUCUUUUGUCGGAGAACAAAACCCGGGACGUGUCCCGGACUGCGUGUAUCCGAAGAAAAAGCAUCGGCUAACUCCGUGCCAGCAGCCGCGGUAAUACGGAGGAUGCGAGCGUUAUCCGGAUUUAUUGGGUUUAAAGGGUGCGUAGGCGGUCCGUUAAGUCAGCGGGAAAAUUGCGGGGCUCAACCCUGGCGAGCCGUUGAAACUGGCAGACUUGAGUUGGCGAGAAGUACGCGGAAUGCGCGGUGUAGCGGUGAAAUGCAUAGAUAUCGCGCAGAACUCCGAUUGCGAAGGCAGCGUACCGGCGCCAGACUGACGCUGAGGCACGAAAGCGUGGGGAUCGAACAGGAUUAGAUACCCCGGUAGUC